AGAGUUUGAUCAUGGCUCAGGAUGAACGCUGGCGGUAUGCUUAACACAUGCAAGUCGAACGGGCUCUUCGGAGUUAGUGGCGGACGGGUGAGUAACGCGUGAGAAUCUGGCUUCAGGUUCGGGACAACAGUUGGAAACGGCUGCUAAUACCGGAUGUGCCUUAUGGUGAAAGAUUUAUCACCUGAAGAUGAGCUCGCGUCUGAUUAGCUAGUAGGUGUGGUAAGAGCGCACCUAGGCGACGAUCAGUAGCUGGUCUGAGAGGAUGAUCAGCCACACUGGGACUGAGACACGGCCCAGACUCCUACGGGAGGCAGCAGUGGGGAAUUUUCCGCAAUGGGCGAAAGCCUGACGGAGCAAUACCGCGUGAGGGAGGAAGGCUCUUGGGUUGUAAACCUCUUUUCUCAGGGAAGAAUGAUGACGGUACCUGAGGAAUAAGCAUCGGCUAACUCCGUGCCAGCAGCCGCGGUAAUACGGAGGAUGCAAGCGUUAUCCGGAAUGAUUGGGCGUAAAGCGUCCGCAGGUGGCAAUGUAAGUCUGCUGUCAAAGCGUCUGGCUCAACCAGAUAAAGGCAGUGGAAACUACAUAGCUAGAGUAAGGUAGGGGUAGAGGGAAUUCCUGGUGUAGCGGUGAAAUGCGUAGAGAUCAGGAAGAACACCGGUGGCGAAAGCGCUCUGCUGGACCUUAACUGACACUGAGGGACGAAAGCUAGGGGAGCGAAUGGGAUUAGAUACCCCAGUAGUCC
rnacentral:rRNA from 1 species